rnacentral:rRNA from 1 species
CUACGGGACGCAGCAGUGAGGAAUAUUGGUCAAUGGGCUUACGCCUGAACCAGCCAAGUCGCGUGAGGGAAGACUGCCCUAUGGGUUGUAAACCUCUUUUGUCAGGGAGCAACGCCGGCUACGUGUAGCCGGACUGAGAGUACCUGAAGAAAAAGCAUCGGCUAACUCCGUGCCAGCGGCCGCGGUAAUACGGAGGAUGCGAGCGUUAUCCGGAUUUAUUGGGUUUAAAGGGUGCGUAGGCGGAAUGCCAAGUCAGCGGUAAAAUCGCGGGGCUCAACCUCGCUCCGCCGUUGAAACUGGCGUUC